GACGAACGCUGGCGGCGUGCUUAACACAUGCAAGUCGAACGGAAAGGCCCUGCUUUUGUGGGGUGCUCGAGUGGCGAACGGGUGAGUAACACGUGAGUAACCUGCCCUUGACUUUGGGAUAACUUCAGGAAACUGGGGCUAAUACCGGAUAGGAGCUCCUGCUGCAUGGUGGGGGUUGGAAAGUUUCGGCGGUUGGGGAUGGACUCGCGGCUUAUCAGCUUGUUGGUGGGGUAGUGGCUUACCAAGGCUUUGACGGGUAGCCGGCCUGAGAGGGUGACCGGCCACAUUGGGACUGCGAUACGGCCCAGACUCCUACGGGAGGCAGCAGUGGGGAAUAUUGCACAAUGGGCGGAAGCCUGAUGCAGCAACGCCGCAUGCGGGAUGACGGCCUUCGGGUUGUAAACCGCUUUCGCCUGUGACGAAGCGUGAGUGACGGUAAUGGGUAAAGAAGCACCGGCUAACUACGUG
rnacentral:rRNA from 1 species